AAGGCAGGGCAAGUCCAGGCAAGGCAAGGCAAGUCCAGGCCAGACAGGGCCUAGCAAGGCCAAGCAAGGCAUAGCCAGUCCAGGUAAGGCCAGGCAAGGCCAGGAAAAAAAAGGCUAGUCCAGGCAAGGCCAGGCAAGUCCAGGCAAUACGAGGCCAGGCUAGGCUAGGCCAGGCGAGGCAAGGCAAGGCAAGGCAAGGCCAGGCAAUGCCAGGCAGGCCAGACCAAGAAGGGCCAGGAGAGGCCAUUCAAGGCAAGGCAAGUCCAGGGAAGGCCAGGCAAGAAAAGGCAAGUCCAGGCAAGGCCAGGCCAGGCAAGGCAAGGGAAGGCAAUGCAAGUCCAGGCCAGGGCAGGCAGGGCAAGUCCACGCAAGGCACGCAAGGCUAGGCAAGGCAAGGCAAUGCAAGUCCAGGCUAGGGCAGGUCAAGGCAAUACAAGGCAAGGCAGGGCUAGGCCAAGCCAGGCUAGGCCGGGCUAGGCAAGGACAAGCAAGGAAAGACAACAGCAGGCAAGGCAAGGCAACACCAGGCAAGGCAAGGCAAGGUAAGAAAAGGCAAAUCCAGUCCAGCCAGGGCAAGUCCAGGCAAGACAAGGCAAGUCCAGGCCAGGAAGUUCAAGUGCGGGCAAGGGCAGGAAAAUCCAGGCAAGACAAAACAAGGCCAGGCCAGACAACGUAAGGCCAGGCCUUGUCAGGCAAGGCAACGCUAGGCAAGGCAAGGCCAGUCAAGGCAAGGCAAGGCAAGGCAAGUCCUGGCAAGUCCAUGCCAGGAAAGGCAAAUCCAGGCCAGGCAGGGCAGGGCAAGUCCAGGCAAGGCAAGGCAAGUCCAGGCCAGGCAGGGCCUAGCAAGGCCAAGCAAGGCAUAGCCAGUCCAGGUAAGGCCAGGCAUGGCCAGGAAAGAAAAGGCUAGUCCAGGCAAGGCCAGGCAAGUCCAGGCAAUACAAGGCCAGGCUAGGCUAGGCCCGGAAAGGCAAGGCAAGGCAAGGCAAGGCAAGUCCAGGCCAGGCAAUGCAAGUCGAGGCUAGGGCAUGUCCAGGCAAUACAAGGCAAGUCCAGGCCAGGAAGUUCAAGUGCAGGCAAGGCCAGGAAAGUCCAGGCAAGGCAAGGCAAGUCCAGGCCAGGCAGGGCAAGACUAGACAAGGCAAGGCAAGGUCAGCCAAGUCAAGUCAAGUCCAGGCCAGGCAGGGCAAGACUAGGCAAGGCAAGGCAAGGCCAGGCAACACAAGACAAUUCUAGUCCUGGCAGAGCAAGGCAACGCAAGGCAGGGCUAGGGCAGGCAAGGCAAGGCAAAGCAAGGCCAGGCCAGGCCAUGCUGGCCAGGCAGGUCAAGUCCAGGCAAGGCAAGGCAAGUCCAGGCCAGGCAAGGCAAGUCAAGACAAAUCCAGGCCAGGCAGGGCAAGACUAGGCAAGGCAAGGCAAGGCCAGGCAACACAAGACAAGUCCAGGCCUGGCAGGGCAGGGCAAGUUUAGGCAAGGCUAGGCCAGGCUAGGCAAG
rnacentral:lncRNA from 1 species